rnacentral:rRNA from 1 species
CAUGGCGUCAGGAUGAACGCUAGCGGCAGGCCUAACACAUGCAAGUCGCGGGGCAGCACGGGUAGCAUACCUGGUGGCGACCGGCGCACGGGUGCGUAACGCGUAUGCAACCUGCCCCCAUCAGGGGAAUAGCCCGCCGAAAGGCGGAUUAAUGCCCCAUAGGCCCAGGGCGCCGCAUGGCGCUAUGGGUAAAGCUCCGGCGGAUGGGGAUGGGCAUGCGUGCCAUUAGCUAGUUGGGGCGGUAGCGGCGCACCAAGGCGACGAUGGCUAGGGGGUCUGAGAGGAUGGUCCCCCACACUGGUACUGAGACACGGACCAGACUCCUACGGGAGGCAGCAGUGAGGAAUAUUGGUCAAUGGGCGGAAGCCUGAACCAGCCAUGCCGCGUGCAGGACGACGGCCCUACGGGUUGUAAACUGCUUUUCCGGGAGGAUAAAGUGAGCCACGCGUGGUUCAUUGCAGGUAUCCCGGGAAUAAGGACCGGCUAAUUCCGUGCCAGCAGCGGC